AUGAGAAAAAGGGAGAGAAAAACCGUGGGAGACGAAGAGAAAAAGGAACAAAAAUUCUGCUCUUUUUUUUGGCACAGUUUUGUUGCACUUUGAGGGAGGAAAAGAAAGCUUUUUGCUGCAAUUUUUGGAGGAAGAAAAAGCUGAAAUUUUUUAGGUUGUUGCUGUUGAAAUUGUGUGAAUUUGCAGCUGGAAAUUUUGGAGGUUUUGCUGCCAUUAAAGGGCAGCAAAGUGCUGCCAAUUUGUGCAGAAAAAUUGGAGCUGUUUGUACAGAAAAAUUGGAGCUGUUUGCUGCAGAAAAAUUGGAGCUGUUUGUGCA